AAAAAUAAGUGAGGAGGAGGAGGAAGGUGUUUGGCCUGGUGGGGUGGGAAUUAGGCCUAAGGGGGACCCGGUGGAAGUGCGGAAAGGCCUUUGGAGAUCUAAUGGGCAGGAAGCAGAACAUGGGGGGUCUUCAGGAGUGGAGGAAACUUUGGGAGGGCCAGAGCAAGCGGACCUAGGUUGUUCAAGGCCUCCAAGGGCCUCUCCCACCCCUAAGACAUCCCAUACUCUGCUUAACAACCCACAAAUGUCAUUAACAAUCAAUGGGGAAAGCAGGGAUGGGAAGUCAUUAGGCGAGACACUCCACCUAAUGGUUGUUGUGACAUGGAAGGCUCCAUUAUCAUCGUAUCUCAAGGACUAUCUAUAAAAAGAAAGUCCCUUUUAUUGGGACCAAGACUAUGCACUCUAGUCUCCCUUCUCAGAUUUUCUAAGUGCGAAGAAAAGAAUGGAAAAUGUACAGUUGCGAAACUCAUUUUGGAGAAAAAACACUUCUAAUAGCUCAUGUCUACAUAAAUAACUAUGUAAGAUCUAUUUUUAACCAAUCAGGUUCUUAAAGCUAGAAAAACAGUGUUAUUCCACAGCUGGUAAAAAUCUGUCCAAAUCCCCUUGGUGCUUCUGUUUUCCAGCUCUUUUUCCAACAGCAGUGUUUUUCCAAUGCUAAUCUAGACUUUAUUCUAUUUUUUCUCCCCCCAAAAAAAUCCUGCAAUUUGACAUAGCUGUUCUGGAAAUUCUCAACUUUAUUAAAAGUGAAUUACAGUAAAACAAAUAGAAAUCCCAGAAGCAAAUGUUAAUCUUUGGAAACCAGAAUAAUCGUGCAAUUAUAUAUUCCUCAAACAUACCAACCCCUCCAGAUCUAUGGUUUUCUUUGCUUGUAAUAACAAUCUUCUCAUACUUAAAAUAUAUUUUUCUUUUUGUUGUUCUUUGCUCCACAUCUAAGCCCUGCCAUUAAAAUAAAAAAAGCAAGAGGCAGUCAAGGGGAGAGAGUUAUUCAAAGGCACGUUUAUUCCAAAGAAUUCUCUAUUGACUGUAAAUUGACACCUACAGUGGCUAGCUAUCAUUGUGCAAUUUACUUUGACAAAUGUGGUUAAGGUAAUGAACAACUUUUACAAACACAAACUAGCUGGAUUCCUGAGCUGUUACUAAAAGAAAACAUUUUUGGAACUCUUGAAAUAUACGCUCAGUAUCCCUGUCACCAAAUUGCGAAUCAAUUCAUUUUUAAAACUUCCCACAAUAUUUAUUGCAAAAGCCCAUUUAUUUUGAAUCAUUUAUAUACCCCUUUUGUUACUGCUUUUUUUUUUUUUACUAUCUACAAGUAAAAUAAAGGCCAAGUAUAGGGCCGAGGUACAGCGUUUUCACAUUCCCUUCCCUUUUUGAAAUCAUUCCGAGGUUACACCCAUGCAGAGUUGUCCAAAACCAAAUGCUUGAGAUUUAAACAAAAAAACAAAAAACGAGAUAAAAAUAAGAAAAUUAAAUAAAUUUAAAUACGUUUUCUCUCCCUUUUAGCCCUUUGCGGUGGGGAGCGGAUAAGCGGUUGGAGAUCUCGGGGUGGGCUUGGGAGAAUCCGCAACGAACAGAUUUAAACCCCAAGGAAAAUUCUUGGGACAAGCGGGAAAACAAGGAAAAAGGAACAAGGAUGGAUGGAUCCCACCCUCUUGGGCCACCGCCCGCCAGGAAGCCGCAACAGUUGGGCUUUAGAAUCAGAACCAUCUGGAAAGCAAUCGGGAGCAGCAAAGCGGCUUCGAGCAGCUUGCAACCGCACGGACAGCCAAAGCGCUAUGGGCACCGGCAGCAGCAGGGAGGGCAAGGCGCGCACCUUCAGCCCGCCGCGGCACUGGCCGGAUCCCGUGCCGGGCAGGGCCAGUCACAGCGCCCCCUCUAGGCAGGGCCUGGAGGACGACGGGGAGGCGGGGUACGCCAGGGCUGCGAGCCGGACUCCUCCGCUCUUCCCCUCGCUGCAGAUCGAGCAGCCCGACUCGGACUCGGAGCUCCUGGACCAGGUGCUGGAGGAGUGCGAGGAAGACAGUCCCCGACUCCUGCCCACCGCCGCGCCCCGCCGGCCUCCGUGCCGCGGCUCCGGAGACUGCUGCUCCCGCCCGGCAGAGGGCGGCGGCGAGGAGAUCGGGGAGCAGCGGGAAGCGGCGGAGGGUUUCUUAACAAGAUCUACACCAGGGAGCAAUAACUUUGCCAAUCAGUAAGUUAUCGUGAAUCAAAUAACCGGGAGUGGAGACAACAUCAGUGUUCUCCUUUGCAGAAAUGAAGAAGAGCUUUCAUUCCUGUGCUUUCAUCAGUUAUUCAACAUGGUUCAGUUGCCUCUCAAGAAGCCAGAGAGACAGGCCAAGAUAUCCUACGACUGCUCUGAAGAGGAGCUGAUGGCAACAAUAGAGCAAGAGUACUGUCGCUGAAGCCGCUCACAGCUAUACCAAUAUGACCAUAAACAAAUUUACCUAGGGGCUAGGUUAUAAAACUACAGUGUUUCUGAGAAAAAGUCUACUAGCAUGGCAUGCAGAAAGACAACUCAGAACCCUGACCAGAGUGAUACAACUACAGGAAACUCUGUUAUCUGAACAUUUCCUAUGGAGCCAAAUGAGAAUCUGUUCUCUAUGGAAAAGAAAAAAAUUAUACACAAAUGUUCAUCUUCACCUAAAGCUUGCGGUGUGAAGUAGUGAAAAGGCAAUCAUUUGUCGACGUUUUAAUGAAAUUAAAGUAAAGAUCAUUAACUUUGGGUGGUCUUACUGCAGAAUAUUAAUAUAAAUAAUAAUAAUGACAAUACCAAUAAAUCAGUAGGACCUUAAUUACUCCUGCACCCAAAGUUUUGGGUCACGUGCCCAUCUUUACAAUACUGGUUAAUGCCACAGUGCCUAAAUGGAAGUAUCCUUGAGAAAAUCUCAGGAUGGCAAUAAUUAUUUUGCCUGAGAUACUCCUGUGUGAUCACUUUAGAUUAGUGGCCAACCAAUUCCGCUGGUCACUUGCAGAGAAUUGCAUAGGCUGAAGUACCUCUUACAGAUAAUAUGUGACAAAAAUGUUUCUUCUAAAUCACAUUCCUGUCAGAUGUCUGCAUGCAAAAUGAAAGCAUGAAGUUAUUGGUGCAAUGUGUUUUGUGUAUAUUAGUAGGUGCAAAAGAGCACUAGAUGGGCUCGUGCGCUGUGGUCACUUUGCCUUGUUAUCUCUCUGUGAAUCUCAUCUCAGACUCAGUGAUUUGGAAGGGCCAUUUAAGAUAUCUAGCUCAAUUCUCUGCUUAGUGUAAAAUAAUAGCAAAUGGCUAUCUAAUCUGUUCGAUUGGAUGGAGAAGCUCACCACCUCUCUGUCCAAAGGUACAAUGCAAAACUGACUAUUGUACUUGCAAGGAGUUGCUGACAUGUGCAUGCUCACACAUGCUCUAAAGCACUUUUGUUUCCUUGAAAUCAAACACAAAUUGUUCUGUUUCCCCUUUUUAGAUUUUUAAUUAUAUUUCUAACAACAUUAUUCUCUUGAUUUCUUUUUGUUUCCGCAUCUGUCUUAUGAAGAUAUAUCUACCCUUUGGGGGGAAAAGAAGAAAUCUGUCGACAUUCAUGCUGGCAGGAUUCUGAAACAUUUCAGCAAGAUUAGAAUAUAAACAUUGGAAAUAUUAGCAUAUACUUUAAAUGGUUCCUGCUCAUGUAUUGCUGAUGGACUGAGUUAAUACUCAGAUAAUAGUACUCGGUUAUUACUCAGAUAAUAAGAAAGACUUUAACUGUGGAGAGUAUUUAUACUGUUUCAGGUUUGCAAAAUGUACUAUGUAGCUUUCAUGUUCAAGUAUAAGAAAGAUGUCUAUUAAUAUAAUAGUAUUAUUAUUAUACAAUUAUUUAUAUAAUGGUAUCUGUCCAGGGAGUUCAAUCUGGUAGGUUGUUGUGCUGUGCAUUGAUUAAAAAAUAUCAUCUUUCAGAACACUGGAAGUGAAAUUUCUUUGUAAUAAUGUCUGUCGUCUGGAACCAUCACAUUUAUAAUCUAUCUCUGACUCGGGGAAAUA